rnacentral:lncRNA from 1 species
CGGGGCUAUAUACAGGGGGGUACCGGUACAGAGUCAAUGUGGAGGCUAUAUACAGGGGGUACCGGUACAGAGUCAAUGUGGAGGCUAUAUACAGGGGGGUACCGGUACAGAGUCAAUGUGGAGGCUAUAUACAGGGGGGUACCGGUACAGAGUCAAUGUGGAGGCUAUAUACAGGGUGUUACGGUAUAGAGUCAAUGUGGAGGCUAUAUACAGGGGGGUACCGGUACAGAGUCAAUGUGGAGGCUAUAUACAGGGGGGUACUGGUACAGAGUCAAUGUGGAGGCUAUAUACAGGGGGGUACCGGUACAGAGUCAAUGUGGAGG